GAUGAACGCUGGCGGCGUGCCUAAUACAUGCAAGUCGAGCGAACGGACGAGAAGCUUGCUUUUCUGAUGUUAGCGGCGGACGGGUGAGUAACACGUGGAUAACCUACCUAUAAGACUGGGAUAACUUCGGGAAACCGGAGCUAAUACCGGAUAAUAUUUUGAACCGCAUGGUUCAAAAGUGAAAGACGGUCUUGCUGUCACUUAUAGAUGGAUCCGCGCUGCAUUAGCUAGUUGGUAAGGUAACGGCUUACCAAGGCAACGAUGCAUAGCCGACCUGAGAGGGGAAUCGGCACCACGGAACUGAGACACGGUCCAGACUCCUACGGGAGGCAGCAGUAGGGAAUCUUCCGCAAAGGGCGAAAGCCUGACGGAGCAACGCCGCGUGAGUGAUGAAGGUCUUCGGAUCGUAAAACUCUGUUAUUAGGGAAGAACAUAUGUGUAAGUAACUGUGCACAUCUUGACGGUACCUAAUCAGAAAGCCACGGCUAACUACGUG
rnacentral:rRNA from 1 species